rnacentral:rRNA from 1 species
UACGUAGGGGGCAAGCGUUGUCCGGAAUCAUUGGGCGUAAAGAGCGCGUAGGCGGCCCUGUAAGUCCGCUGUGAAAGUCAAGGGCUCAACCCUUGGAUGCCGGUGGAUACUGCAGGGCUAGAGUUCGGAAGAGGCGAGUGGAAUUCCUGGUGUAGCGGUGAAAUGCGCAGAUAUCAGGAAGAACACCCGUGGCGAAGGCGGCUCUCUGGUACGUGACUGACGCUGAGACGCGAAAGCGUGGGGAGCGAACAGG